GUGUCAGCGCGGUAAUACGGAGGGUGCAAGCGUUAAUCGGAAUUACUGGGCGUAAAGCGCACGCAGGCGGUCUGUCAAGUCGGAUGUGAAAUCCCCGGGCUCAACCUGGGAACUGCAUUCGAAACUGGCAGGCUAGAGUCUUGUAAAGGGGGGUAGAAUUCCAGGUGUAGCGGUGAAAUGCGUAGAGAUCUGGAGGAAUACCGGUGGCGAAGGCGGCCCCCUGGACAAAGACUGACGCUCAGGUGCGAAAGCGUGGGGAGCAAACAGGAUUAGAUACCCUGGUAGUCCACGCCGUAAACGAUGUCGACUUGGAGGUUGUGCCCUUGAGGCGUGGCUUCCGGAGCUAACGCGUUAAGUCGACCGCCUGGGGAGUACGGCCGCAAGGUUAAGACUCAAAUAAAUUGACGG
rnacentral:rRNA from 1 species